CACGGACCAAGGAGUGCAACAUGCGUGCGAGUCUUUGGGUGUGNAACCCGUCGGCGCAAUGAAAGUGAAGGCAGGCAUUUUGGCCUGCUGUGGCGAGAGCUCCCUCUGCGGUGGGAGCGCAUCGUCGACCGAUCCCGGGCUACGCUGUGGCGGGAUUUGAGUGAGAGCGUGCCUGUUGCGACCCGAAAGAUGGUGAACUAUGCCUGAAUAGGGUGAAGCCAGAGGAAACCCUGGUGGAAGCUCGUAGCGAUUCUGACGUGCAAAUCGAUCGUCAAAUUUGGGUAUAGGGGCGAAAGACUAAUCGAACCAUCUAGUAGCUGGUUCCCUCCGAAGUUUCCCUCAGGAUAGCUGGAGCCCGGUGCAGUUUUAUCAGGUAAAGCGAAUGAUUAGAGUUCUUGGGGCUGAAACGGUCUCAACCUAUUCUCAAACUUUAAAUGGGUAAGAAGCCCGGCUUGCUCGGUUGAAGUCGGGCGUAGAAUGCCGGGGCUCCCAGUGGGCCAUUUUUGGUAAGCAGAACUGGCGAUGUGGGAUGAACCGAAAGUCGGGUUAAGGUGCCGGAAUCGACGCUCAUCAGAUNCCCAUGAAAGGUGUUGGUUGAUACAGACAGCAGGACGGUGGCCAUGGAAGUCGGAAUCCGCUAAGGAGUGUGUAACAACU
rnacentral:rRNA from 1 species